UGUAUAAACAAACCACAAAAUUUGUAUGUAAUCGCAAGCUUAUCGUAGCUGCCGCGUGUGCUUCCACAAAAAUACAAGUAACAAAUGACCUAAAUCUCGAUGGGCUGAUAAUAUUUAAUACAUAUUUAAUAUACUUAAAUAUACAUAUAGAUACUAUAUGUAUAUUUAAUAAAUAAUCAGCCGUCGAUGCUAUUAAACUCACAUUGAAUCUAUACACCUCGGGCACAUUGUGAAGAUGCUAAUCCCUUUAUGAGCGUGAUGUACACCCCAUUCGAUGCCAUGUAUCGUAUAAGUAAAUAAAUAAAAAUGUCAAAGCAAGAAUGCGUAGGAGGAAACAUUUAAAGGUUAACAUUGUUUCAAAACUAUAGCAUACUUCAAGGCGCCAUUUAUACACAAGG